rnacentral:rRNA from 1 species
AGAGUUUGAUCCUGGCUCAGGACGAACGCUGGCGGCGUGCCUAAUACAUGCAAGUCGAACGCUUUUUCUUUCACCGGAGCUUGCUCCACCGAAAGAAAAAGAGUGGCGAACGGGUGAGUAACACGUGGGUAACCUGCCCAUCAGAAGGGGAUAACACUUGGAAACAGGUGCUAAUACCGUAUAACACUAUUUUCCGCAUGGAAGAAAGUUGAAAGGCGCUUUUGCGUCACUGAUGGAUGGACCCGCGGUGCAUUAGCUAGUUGGUGAGGUAACGGCUCACCAAGGCAACGAUGCAUAGCCGACCUGAGAGGGUGAUCGGCCACACUGGGACUGAGACACGGCCCAGACUCCUACGGGAGGCAGCAGUAGGGAAUCUUCGGCAAUGGACGAAAGUCUGACCGAGCAACGCCGCGUGAGUGAAGAAGGUUUUCGGAUCGUAAAACUCUGUUGUUAGAGAAGAACAAGGAUGAGAGUAAAACGUUCAUCCCUUGACGGUAUCUAACCAGAAAGCCACGGCUAACUACGUGCCAGCAGCCGCGGUAAUACGUAGGUGGCAAGCGUUGUCCGGAUUUAUUGGGCGUAAAGCGAGCGCAGGCGGUUUCUUAAGUCUGAUGUGAAAGCCCCCGGCUCAACCGGGGAGGGUCAUUGGAAACUGGGAGACUUGAGUGCAGAAGAGGAGAGUGGAAUUCCAUGUGUAGCGGUGAAAUGCGUAGAUAUAUGGAGGAACACCAGUGGCGAAGGCGGCUCUCUGGUCUGUAACUGACGCUGAGGCUCGAAAGCGUGGGGAGCGAACAGGAUUAGAUACCCUGGUAGUCCACGCCGUAAACGAUGAGUGCUAAGUGUUGGAGGGUUUCCGCCCUUCAGUGCUGCAGCAAACGCAUUAAGCACUCCGCCUGGGGAGUACGACCGCAAGGUUGAAACUCAAAGGAAUUGACGGGGGCCCGCACAAGCGGUGGAGCAUGUGGUUUAAUUCGAAGCAACGCGAAGAACCUUACCAGGUCUUGACAUCCUUUGACCACUCUAGAGAUAGAGCUUCCCCUUCGGGGGCAAAGUGACAGGUGGUGCAUGGUUGUCGUCAGCUCGUGUCGUGAGAUGUUGGGUUAAGUCCCGCAACGAGCGCAACCCUUAUUGUUAGUUGCCAUCAUUUAGUUGGGCACUCUAGCGAGACUGCCGGUGACAAACCGGAGGAAGGUGGGGAUGACGUCAAAUCAUCAUGCCCCUUAUGACCUG